rnacentral:lncRNA from 1 species
ACAAACUUAUGAUUUUGUUUUAUGACUGAUCAAAACCGCUUCUACGGUCAUCACCGUCAUCUUUACCAUUAUUGAAUUGCUUCUCUUAUUGAUGCUAUCACUACCACUCCCGCUAUUGUCGCCGUCUUCACCAUAUCAUUACCGCUAUUAUUACCACCUCUACCAAUAUUUUCAUAAUUAUCGCUACAUUAUUGCCACUAUUGUUACUUCCCCACCACA